rnacentral:rRNA from 1 species
ACCUACGGGGGGCAGCAGUGGGGAAUAUUGCACAAUGGGGGAAACCCUGAUGCAGCGACGCCGCGUGAAGGAAGAAGUAUUUCGGUAUGUAAACUUCUAUCAGCAGGGAAGGAAAUGACGGUACCUGACUAAGAAGCCCCGGCUAACUACGUGCCAGCAGCCGCGGUAAUACGUAGGGGGCAAGCGUUAUCCGGAUUUACUGGGUGUAAAGGGAGCGUAGGCGGUGCAGCAAGUCAGAAGUGAAAGCCCGUGGCUCAACUCCGGGACUGCUUUUGAAACUGUUGAACUAGAUUGCAGGAGAGGUA